GAUGAACGCUGGCGGCGUGCCUAAUACAUGCAAGUCGAGCGAACGGACGAGAAGCUUGCUUCUCUGAUGUUAGCGGCGGACGGGUGAGUAACACGUGGAUAACCUACCUAUAAGACUGGGAUAACUUCGGGAAACCAUAGCUAAUACCGGAUAAUAUUUUGAACCGCAUGGUUCAAAAGUGAAAGACGGUCUUGCUGUCACUUAUAGAUGGAUCCGCGCUGCAUUAGCUAGUUGGUAAGGUAACGGCUUACCAAGGCAACGAUGCAUAGCCGACCUGAGAGGGUGAUCGGCCACACUGGAACUGAGACACGGUCCAGACUCCUACGGGAGGCAGCAGUAGGGAAUCUUCCGCAAUGGGCGAAAGCCUGACGGAGCAACGCCGCGUGAGUGAUGAAGGUCUUCGGAUCGUAAAACUCUGUUAUUAGGGAAGAACAUAUGUGUAAGUAACUGUGCACAUCUUGACGGUACCUAAUCAGAAAGCCACGGCUAACUACGUG
rnacentral:rRNA from 1 species